CAGCAGCCACGGGAAUACGUAGGGUGCAAGCGCUAAUCGGAAUUACUGGGCGUAAAGCGUGCGCAGGCGGUUAUAUAAGUCAGAUGUGAAAUCCCCGGGCUCAACCUGGGAACUGCAUUUGAGACUGUAUGGCUAGAGUGUGUCAGAGGGGGGUAGAAUUCCACGUGUAGCAGUGAAAUGCGUAGAUAUGUGGAGGAAUACCGAUGGCGAGGGCAGCCCCCUGGGAUAACACUGACGCUCAUGCACGAAAGCGUGGGGAGCAAACAGGAUUAGAUACCCGCGUAGUCCCUGUCUCUUAUAC
rnacentral:rRNA from 1 species